rnacentral:rRNA from 1 species
UACGUAGGGGGCUAGCGUUGUCCGGAAUCAUUGGGCGUAAAGAGCGCGUAGGCGGCCAGAUAAGUCCGGUGUGAAAGUCAAAGGCUCAACCUUUGAAUGCCGCUGGAAACUGUCUGGCUAGAGUCCGGGAGGGGCGAGUGGAAUUCCUGGUGUAGCGGUGAAAUGCGCGGAUAUCAGGAGGAACACCAAUGGCGAAGGCAGCUCGCUGGAACGGUACUGACGCUGAGGCGCGAAAGCGUGGGGAGCAAACAGG